UUGACCAUGACCUAAAGGACUUCCUGGGAUGAAGGAACACAAUCACCAUCCUUCCUCUUUCCGUCCCUCCAUCAGGCUACAUACCCAGAAGGGCCUUCAUCCCCUGCUACUAUUCCUGUUUCCUCUCCACUUCUCCAGAAGCAAGUACUGCAUAUGUGGCCGUCGAGUCCUUUCUGACCCACAGAGACAAAAACGGACACAUCUCUCGCCGAACACCCCGCUCUCCAUCUGCAAUCGUUUCGGUAGUG